CCGAACAGGCCUUUCAGGGACAUCUCCGUAAUUACUGUGCAUUUAAAUCUCCUCGUAUAAAGAGAAAUAGAAGCGUCCCUUUGUGAGUGUUGAAAUGGCGGGAGAAGCUGAGGAACUCAUUUCAAUAUUCCGCUCCCAACUCAUCCUCAAGCGCUAUGACGAUUCGACUCUUAGGGUUUUGCAUACUAUCAUGCACUCGAAAGAUGUAGGGCUUUUGCUCUCUGUUCGAUCUCUUGUAAGGGAGAUUUUGCAAUCUACUGCGUUUGAAAGCCUUAAAGGAGUGGAAGUUUUGGAGAAAACAGUUGAAGAAAAGCUUCAAAUUAUAGGUUUCUUUGUCCAUGCUUUCGCUCUUGCAGGGGAUGUUGAGAAUUCCCUGGCAUUGAAAUACGAGGCUUUGGUUUUACGAGAUCAUGUUUUUGUGAAUAGUCCUCAUUUGCAAGUUUCAUAUGAUGAGUGGUUAAAGUUUGCUGAAGAUUCACUGAACAAUGGAUUUUAUUUAAAUGCAAUCCAGGUGAUGUUUAUCUUUUACAUCUGUUUUGUAUUUUGCAUAAUGACAACUCACAGGGUCAAUUAUCUUCAGAUUCUAUUUUAGAGAAACUUAUUAGGCUUUAUUUUCCAUUGUAAAGAUUCGAAAUAUGAUUUAUCUGAACAUCUUGAAUUACUAUUACUGAUUUUUUUGUUUCUUCAAAACAUGAGUCCAUUUGAUUCUGUAUUUCUACUUGUAAAAGGGGCAUGUUUCCUUGGAUCUUGUUUCCACUUGAAAACUGUGUGACUACAAUUGUAUGUUGAACACCAAGCUUUAAAUAUCAAAUUAUUAUUUAUAGCAUGUAGUCUGGUAGAUUGCUGAACGCUUUGACAUUCAAUUUAUACAUUUUUCUCCAUGUAUUUUGUCUUCUUUUCUAUUGCUAGGAGUCAGCAAGGGUGGUUUUAUAUAGUAUUGUACAAGCCUAAGCACAAAAUUCUCAUUCUUCAUGAUGGAUAUGCAAUUCAAACACCAGGCAAUAUGGAGAUCUUUCCUUAGAUUUGGACCGUUUGGUUAAUGCCGCUCUUGAUUAAUCUUUAACUUUUAGCUUUAGGCUUGAGGUCUCUCCUAAACAGAAAUAUGCGAGUGUCUUUGAGAGAUAGAGAACUUCACGCGUGUGUUAAGAUCUUAUCGUAAUUCUACAAGUAACUCUUUUAGCAUUACCAGGAUUGCACUGGUCAUCAAACUGAUAAGUGGUUAGUCUGUGCUUGGAUUGUUGAUAUUGGUGCUCUAUAAAUUAUCAGGGAAAUAAAUGUCUUAAGUUUGUUAUUGCUUAAUUUCAAAGAAAAGUUGUGAAAAACACAAGAAUAUGAGCUUUGUGUGGUAAUUUUGUUACAAUAACAUUCAUAGAGGAGUGCAUAUGGGCAUAUGAUUUUGCUACAGUGAAAAAGAAUGGAGUUGGCUGCAUGGGGUUUCAAUAAUACAAAUUAUACUUGGUUUAACAGGGAAGUUUAAGGCUACUUAUUAGAAGAAAUUAUACAAAUUUGAGGCUCUUUUACUCACUCUGUGUGCUUUAUCUUAAUGUUUUCUAUUGUUAGAACUUCUUGUUUCAAAACUUAUUAAGGAUGACAUCCAAAUUCAGGGUUUUAUUGACUUCUUUUCAAUGCUUGAACAGUUUCACAUGCAAUAUGUCUUGUGUUAUAUCAUAUUACUUUUUGAUUUGACAUUAUGAACUGUGGCGAGGAGUUUUCCGGCUGAGAGUUCUAGCAGCGCGAGGACUCCGGUAGUGGUUUUGUAACAGAGGAGUGAGAAGUGCCGGCGAGCACAGGGAUUCCGACAGUGAUUCUGGGGUGCCAGAUCCCUAUUCGGCAAAAACCAACUUCUACCAAACCCACUCAAACCACUCAGCCCGUGUCGGUUGUAUUGCAAAACCAGCCGACACCUAAGCCUGCUCCAUCUAACCCUACUCCACCCAAGCCUACAUCACAACCUACCAUCCCUCCUAAGCCUGCGACAGGAUCAGGGUACAAAAGGGCAAAGAUGACAAGGUGAAGUACGAUUUGAUCGGGCACUUGAGGAAGCUUCUGGCCCUUCUCAGUAUUUACGACGCCCACUUGGUUUCAAGAGACUAUCAGACGGCUCUGAUCCAAGCUCUCUCCAAUCCAGAAGUGUAUGAGACCGAAGUUGAGCCCAUCAAGGUAGACCCGGCAAUUCUAAGCGGCUGUUUGGCAAUCACCUUUUCAAAGGAUGACCUUCAAUUGGGAGAAAAGUUUCACAAUCGCUCUCCCUUUGUGACGGGUGAAUCGCAUGCAUGCCCUAUCAAUCGAAUCAUGUUGGAUGGAGGAUCAGCUGUCAAUCUUAUCUCGAGAAGGAUUCUCACUCAAUUGGGAUUAGGAUCUGAAGACCUCACUCAACCUCACAUCACAGUCCAGGGGUUCAACCAAUCGAGAGAGAAGCCAGCAGGUACAAUUCGUCUUCGCCUCAAAAUUGGUGAAUUAAAUGAUUACGCUCAGUUUCAUAUGAUCAACACUGACACUUCGUACAACAUCCUUCUCGGCCGCCCUUGGUUGCAUGACCAGGGGGUAAUUCUGUCCACACUGCAUCAAUGCUUCAAGUAUUGUCGGGAUGGGAGACAGUAAAUGAUCUAUGUUGACAAAAGAACGUUUCCUGUAGCUGAGUCACAUUAUGCUGAUGCAAAGUACUGCUUCACAGAACCGAUGUCAUCCCAAGAGCCCAAUGAUGAUGACCGGGAAACUGUAAGAAAGACAGAACUCUCACCCCAUGAAGAUGUCGAGGACAUGUGACAGAUGCUCACAGACAUGUUCAAAGAAGAGGCAAGGCAGGGCAAGAUUCUCCCCUUAACCCCGAUUCAUUCUAAUUUUCCCUGUUCCGUCCUGGAAGCAACAUCAUCCCUUCCCAAAGAUGACAACCUCACCUCCUCUUCGAGCCUUGAGUUGCUUGCCAAAAAUGAUGAACCAGAAGACGUUCUCGAGGCAACAGAAGCCAUGGGGAUUGACUUCCUGACCCCAAAGGUCACGUACACGCCAGACCACCAAAAGUUCUUGCAUGUCCCUAUUGCACUUCUGGAAGCAGAACAGAUACAGCAGCCACCACUAAGGAUACUGCAAAUCCCGGCUUCCUUGAGCAGGGAAGACUCUUCGCGUCCCACCACAGGGUCAGCUUAGACCAGUAGCCAGCCGAAGGUCUUGCGCUUCCCGGAUUCUUUAGAAGAAGAAAGGGUUAUGAUCAUGCGGUCCUAUCCCUUCAGUCAACACAUCCAAAUCAUGGUGUUUCUUGUGUUCAAGC